UGCAGAAUUGGGUACAACUCA
rnacentral:siRNA from 1 species